rnacentral:lncRNA from 1 species
GAAAAAUGGAAGCACAAUAAUCAAGGCACAACAUGAUGCUUGUCAUCUUCCAGAUUCAAAUGAUUGGGCUCUAACCUGAGCAUAAUGAAAUUUCAGAGAUGAAGUGAGUUGCCAGAAGUGCAAUUGCUUAGAGCAUGGAGGAAGGAAGGAAAAGCGUCAGAGAGGCAUCCCAUGAUAACUCGACUUACUCCAAAUGUUCUGGAAAUGUGACAGAUGCUGCUGCUAAGUCAUUCAGUUCCAGACCUGAAAUAUUAUAAAAAUGGGCAACGUGUUCCCUGUCCAGCUGUUCUCAGAAUGCCCAGAUCUUGGCAACCACAACAAGGAUCGAAAAGUAGAGAUACGUGCAUUUUGUCUGGAAGUUUCAAAGCUCUCAUCCCAGGAACGUUCCACAGAGUCUGGAGCCUGAGGCCCAGCGGCCAUGUGGCGGCCUUCACUGCGCUUCGAGGACCCCCAUCUCACCCCUCCUGGUCUGAAGGAGGGGGGCACGAUUUGGAGGCAGCUGGGGUUACAGGAUGACAAAUGUCGCUUGCAGGACGCAGUGGGAGCUCCCACAGCAAGCCCUGGAAAACAUUAGUGAGAGAUGGGGAAAACACAAUCGCAUUACCCUUCUCUUUCUAUCCAUCACUGCCUUUCUCUAGUC